rnacentral:rRNA from 1 species
AAAGGGUCCGUAGGUGGGCCAUUAAGUCAGGGGUGAAAGUCUGCAGCUCAACUGUAGAAUUGCCUUUGAUACUGUCGGUCUUGAGUCGUUGUGGGGUUGCCGGAACAUGUGGUGUAGCGGUGAAAUGCAUAGAUAUCACAUAGAACACCGAUCGCGAAGGCAGGUGACCAACAACGUACUGACACUGAUGGACGAAGGCGUGGGUAACGAACGGGAUUAGAUACCCUGGUAGUCCACGCCGUAAACGAUGGAUACUAGCUGUCCGGAACCUUGAGUUCUGGGCGGCCAAGCGAAAGUGAUAAGUAUCCCACCUGGGGAGUACGUUCGCAAGAAUGAAACUCAAAGGAAUUGACGGGGGCCCGCACAAGCGGUGGAGCAUGUGGUUUAAUUCGAUGAUACGCGAGGAACCUUACCAGGGCUUAAAUGCAUAUUGACAGGGUCAGAGAUGACUUUUCCUUCGGGCAAUUUGCAAGGUGCUGCAUGGUU